AGGAAUUUAGGUUAAUAAAGACCAAGAGCCUUCAAAGCUCUAAGUAAGUAUAAUUUACUUAAUUCCUGACAAA
rnacentral:tRNA from 1 species